rnacentral:lncRNA from 1 species
GGCCUCAGGCAGGGAGGAAGGCCAACUGAGUACACCCUCACCUGGCUCUGCACAGCCACGUGCCACGGCAAGCACACACUUUCUUUUAAAAAUAGCGUAAUAGUAACAGCAACAGGAGGUCAGUUUAUUGAGAGUAUCCUCCGCAUCAGUGCUUGACAUGAUCAUGCCCUUCAUUCCAUCGAGGGAGUGUCGCCUGCUCACAUUACAGCAUUCAGUGGCAAACUGGGAUUUGAACCCAUGCAGUGUGACACCAGAGUUUCCGCCUUCACCAUCUGCUGCGUUGUCUCCUUAGCAAGUGGAGGGUGGGGAGCCUGCUGUGAAACGUGUGCAGGGUUGAGUUAAACCACCAUGGAAAUUCCAAGCUCAGCGAGCCAAAGUGGUGCCGGUCGGCAGCGUACCUGCAGUGCUGUGCUGUGGCCAGCACACUCCUAGUACUCAGCAAGUGCUCAGUAAAUGCUUGCUCAAUUCCCCCCUUCCCUCCUCUCUUUCUUUCCUUCUUUCUUUCCUUCUUUCUUUCUCUCUCUCUCUUUCCCUCCCCUCCCCUCCUCUCUCUCUCUCUUUCCUUCUUUGUCUUUCUCUCUCUUGCUUGCUCU